rnacentral:rRNA from 1 species
UGGGGAAUAUUGCACAAUGGGCGCAAGCCUGAUGCAGCAACGCCGCGUGAGGGACGACGGCCUUCGGGUUGUAAACCUCUUUUAGUAGGGAAGAAGCGAAAGUGACGGUACCUGCAGAAAAAAGCACCGGCUAACUACGUGCCAGCAGCCGCGGUAAUACGUAGGGUGCGAGCGUUGUCCGGAAUUAUUGGGCGUAAAGAGCUCGUAGGCGGUCUGUCGCGUCUGCUGUGAAAACCCGAGGCUCAACCUCGGGCCUGCAGUGGGUACGGGCAGACUAGAGUGCGGUAGGGGAGAAUGGAAUUCCUGGUGUAGCGGUGGAAUGCGCAGAUAUCAGGAGGAACACCGAUGGCGAAGGCAGUUCUCUGGGCCGUAACUGGCGCUGAGGAGCGAAAGCGUGGGGAGCGAACAGGAUUAGAUACCCUGGUAGUCCACGCCGUAAACGUUGGGCGCUAGAUGUGGGGACCAUUCCACGGUUUCCGUGUCGCAGCUAACGCAUUAAGCGCCCCGCCUGGGGAGUACGGCCGCAAGGCUAAAAC